GUCCCUGUAGCGCAAUGGAUAGCGCGUUGGACUUCUAAUUUAAGGGUUUGAAUCCCACCUGGGAUG